rnacentral:rRNA from 1 species
GACGAACGCUGGCGGCGUGCUUAACACAUGCAAGUCGAACGGAAAGGCCCUGCUUUUGUGGGGUGCUCGAGUGGCGAACGGGUGAGUAACACGUGAGUAACCUGCCCUUGACUUUGGGAUAACUUCAGGAAACUGGGGCUAAUACCGGAUAGGAGCUCCUGCUGCAUGGUGGGGGUUGGAAAGUUUCGGCGGUUGGGGAUGGACUCGCGGCUUAUCAGCUUGUUGGUGGGGUAGUGGCUUACCAAGGCUUUGACGGGUAGCCGGCCUGAGAGGGUGACCGGCCACAUUGGGACUGAGAUACGGACCAGACUCCUACGGGAGGCAGUAGUGGGGAAUAUUGCACAAUGGGCGGAAGCCUGAUGCAGCAACGCCGCGUGCGGGAUGACGGCCUUCGGGUUGUAAACCGCUUUCGCCUGUGACGAAGCGUGAGUGACGGUAAUGGGUAAAGAAGCACCGGCUAACUACGUG